UGGGGUGUCGCCAAGUGGUAAGGCAACGGGUUUUGAUCCCGUCACUCGCAGGUUCGAGUCCUGCCACCCCAGCCA
rnacentral:tRNA from 1 species